GAUGAACGCUGGCGGCGUGCCUAAUACAUGCAAGUCGAGCGAAUGGAUUGAGAGCUUGCUCUUAUGUAGUUAGCGGCGGACGGGUGAGUAACACGUGAGUAACCUGCCCAUAAGACUGGGAUAACUCCGGGAAACCGGGGCUAAUACCGGAUAACAUUUUGAACCGCAUGGUUCGAAAUUGAAAGGCGGCUUCGGCUGUCACUUAUGGAUGGACCCGCGUCGCAUUAGCUAGUUGGUGAGGUAACGGCUCGCCAAGGCAACGAUGCGUAGCCGACCUGAGAGGGUGAUCGGCCACACUGGGACUGAGACACGGCCCAGACUCCUACGGGAGGCAGCAGUAGGGAAUCUUCCGCAAUGGACGAAAGUCUGACGGAGCAACGCCGCGUGAGUGAUGAAGGCUUUCGGGUCGUAAAACUCUGUUGUUAGGGAAGAACAAGUGCUAGUUGAAUGAGCUGGCACCUUGACGGUACCUAACCAGAAAGCCACGGCUAACUACGUGCCAGCAGCCGCCGUAA
rnacentral:rRNA from 1 species